rnacentral:rRNA from 1 species
UGUUCUUUAAAUGGGGACUUGUAUCAACGGCAUCACGAGGGUUAUACUGUCUCCUCUCUCCAAUCAGUGAAACUGAUCCCCCCGUGAAGAAGCGGGGAUUUUACUAUAAGACGAGAAGACCCCAUGGAGCUUUAAACUCGACAUACACUAAGGUAUUAAAACACCAAUUUAACCCAAAAACCUGUACGUCAGUUUUAGGCUGGGGGGGCCACGGAGUAAAACUAAACCUCCACAACAAAUGGGCUAACACCCUAAUCUAAGAUUUAUAAAUCUAAGAAUCACCAAAAUGAUGUUUAAUGACCCGAUAAUUCGAUCAAUGAACCAAGUUACCCUGGGGAUAACAGCGCAAUCUACUUCAAGAGCCCUUAUCGACAAGUGGGUUUACGACCUCGAUGUUGGAUCAGGGUAUCCUAGUGGUGCAACCGCUA